rnacentral:lncRNA from 1 species
GUUCAUUAACAAUGAAAACUUCAUAGGAUUUAAAUACAGAAGAAAUCUUAGACCAGUGGAAUUCUAACACCUGAAGCAAAUUCAGUUGAAGCUGGACAAGGAGAGAUUAAGUCAAAGAUAGGCACUGGAGAUGGACAAGCAGGACGCAGAACUGAACUGGAGGCCAAAAAAAUUAAUCUGUAUUGCAUUUGGGACAAGAUGGAGUACUUUUAGUUACCACAAGUUGCUUCUUGCCAUCAAGGGCCAUAUCAUAAAACAGGAACAUUCUCCUGGCAGGGCUGUGGGUUGCAACUGAUGGAAUCAAGAUUGUGGUGACCUGAGGCGCAAUGGACUCUUGGAGAUUUUAACUAGACUGCAGUAUGUUAUAUUACCUCUAAUAAUUUUGGGGUGAAGCAUGAUAGAUGAGGGCAUUUAGGUGACAUGGUGGAUAGAAUGUUGGGCCUGGAAUCAGGAAACCUUUGUGAGUUCAAAUCUGAACUCAGACAACUUAAUAGAUGCAUGACUCUGGGCACAUCACUAGACACUGUUUGCCUCAUUUUCCUCAUCUGUAAAAUUGUUUGCAGAAGGAAGUGACAAAUUAUUCCAAUAUCUUUGCUAAGAAAACCUCAAACUGAGUCAAGAAGAAUCCAACAUGACUCAAAAUGACUCAACAAUGACAUGACCGAAAAAGCUAGGACACUAUAAUGGGAGGAUGAAGUGGACUGCUCAUUUAGUUAAAAAUGGGUGAUGACCACUGGGAAGCUGGAAUGUUGCAUAGGCACAUUUGAGACUUCAGAGAUCUGUGAUUUUAUCAAUUAGGAUGCUCACUUUAGCAAUACAGAUUAUAACCAAACUAUAUCUUUCAUUCUCUAUCAUUCUUAUUAAUACCCUCACAGAAAUCCUUUAUGGAGAAUCUACAAUAGGCAAGAAACUUCUAGGUAUUUUAAGAUGUCUUGGGCAUGAAGGCAGUGUCCAGGGCUCCAUUUAUUUUCCUUUUUUUUCUUAUUAUGUGACUGGUGCACCUCUUUUUCCAGUGAUAUUCUUUAUAUGUUUCAUACCAUUUAUAAAAAAAUCAUGUAGUGACCAGAACUCCAAAUCAAAUAUCUAGUAAACAUAUCCAUACCCAAGAGUACCUUAAUGUGCGGCUAUAUGGCAUAAUGGAUAGAAUGCUAGACCUGGAGUCAAGAAGAAUUAAGUUUAGCUCUACUUCCAGACACUAUUUGUAUUACCCUGGGCAAAUAUUUAACUUUACUUGGAUUCAGUUUUCUCAUCUAUAAAAUGGGAAUAAUAAUAGUAAUAAUAGGACCUUCCACCUAGAGUUUUUGAGGAGCAAAUGAGACAAUAUUAAUAAAUCACUUUGAAAAAAUUACAAUUCUAUACAGAUGUUAUAUAUAUUAUUAUAGUUAUUAUUAAAUGUAUUUUUGCAUCUCAUUUCAAAAAUCUGUUCAUUUAAAAAUAAGUUUAGCUUUUUGGUUUCAUCAGUUUUUUGAUGAACAAAAAUAAUGGUCUAUAUGAUUAAGUAUUUAAUAAAUAUUUAUUUUUUAAAAAGAUAAAAACCAAAAUGGCAUAGAGUACCCUACUUUGAGCCUGGAAGAACUGAAAUUAAAACCUACUUCAGAUUUUUACUAGUUGUGUGAUCCUGGGAAAGUCACAUAACCUUUCUGUGACUCAGAUUUCCUAUCUGUAAUACGAUGGUGUUGGAUUUAGUGGUUUAUUUGGAUUUUUUUUUUUGUAAUGCAGUUAGGGUUAGGGGACUUGCCUAGGAUCAUACAGCUAGUAAGUAUUAAGUAUCUCAGGAUGUAUUUGAACUCAGGUCCUGAUGAUUUCAUGGUCGGUGUUCUAUUCAUUGUCAUCCAGCUUCCCUAGACUUAAUGAUUUUUAAAGUUCAUCUUUGUUUAUAACAUACACUAAUGCAAUGUCUUGUGCAUGCCCAUAAUAAUUGGAGAAACUAAAAUAAUCUCAGUCAUAACAUUUUUUUUUUUUUGCUGAGGCAAUUGGGAUGAAGUGACUUGCCCAGGAUCACACAGCUAGGACGUAUUAAGUGUCUGAGACCAGAUUUGAACUCAGGUCCUCCUGAGUCAUAACAUUCUUGCUAAAUGAAGUCAGAAGUCAAAAUGAAACUGCAGCUAAAUGCAAGGGGGCUUACAGAUUCUCCUUAAAAAUAUCAAAUAAAGGAGGUGGUUUUAUCAUGCCUCCAAAGGCAAGAAGAAGCCUAAUAUCUUGGGACUUCAAUAAAUAAAGGGCUUGCUUAGAGUCAAGAGACAUGAGUUCAGAUCUAAACUCAAGAUACUGUCUACCUGUAGAAUCCUGGGUAAGUCAUUUAAUCUUUGUUUGCCUCAAUUUCCUCUUCUGUAAAACAGGUAUUAUAGUAAUAGCCCCUAUCUCCCAAUAUUGAAGAUCAAAUGAGAAAAUGAUUGUAAAGCCCUUAGCACAGGUCUUAGUACAUAACAAGUGCUAUAUAAAGUUAAUGAUUAUUAUGUAUUACUAAUUGUUAUUAAUAUCCUUUAUACUGUUUCUUGUGUGGUCAUCAUUGGAUAAUAUGACAUACAAAUAAGACAUGGGCAAUAAAUAUUACUUAUAUAUUUGGUUUUUAUGUAUGUAUUGAUAGACUUAUCUGUUUCUGAGUCAUGGCUAGAAUGCUAGAUUUAGUGCUGAGGAAAGCUAGGUAGCCCAGUGAAUAGAGAGAAGGGCCUGGAGUCAGGAAGACUUAUCUUUCUGAGUUCAACUCUUACCUCAGUCACUUAGUAACUCUAUGACCCUUGGAAAGUCAUUUAACCCAUUGACCUCAGUUUCCCCAUCUAUAAAACGAUCUAGAUAAAGAAAUGAAAAACCAUUCCAAUAUUUUUGCCAAGAGAGCCCCAAUGGAAUCAUGGAAAGCCAGACAUAAUUGAAAAGCUACUGAAUAAGAAGAGGACACAGAGAGGUGGUCUUUUAGAUGAACUGUUCUUUUUACAGAGAAAGAAA